GACAGAGGAUGCAAGCGUUAUCCGGAAUGAUUGGGCGUAAAGCGUCUGUAGGUGGUUUGACAAGUCUUCUGUCAAAGAUCAGGGCUUGACCGCGGGCUUGCGGUUGAUACGGGCGGGCUAGAGUUCGGUAGGGGAGACUGGAAUUCCUGGUGUAGCGGUGAAAUGCGCAGAUAUCAGGAGGAACACCGGUGGCGAAGGCGGGUCUCUGGGCCGAUACUGACGCUGAGGAGCGAAAGCGUGGGGAGCGAACAGG
rnacentral:rRNA from 1 species